UUUUCCCAGGCAGGGGUUCCCAACCCCCCUUUCCCACAUCCACCCCUCCAUCUCAUCCGCUCUCGCCUGGGGCUUUUCCGUUGCAAUUUUUUUUUUAUUUCCCCCCCAAAAAUUCCCAAAUUUUCCCCCCAUUCCCUGGUUUUGCUGUUGAUUUUACUUCAUCCUCCACCGUCACCUUCUCCCCGGGGCAGAGGAGAUCGAAGCCUCCAACAUCGACAACGUGGUGCUGGACGAGGAUCGCUCCGGGGCCCGGCGGCUGCAGAACCUCUGGAGGGACCAGCGUGAGGAGGAGCUGGGCGAGUACUACAUGAAGAAAUACGCCAAGUCCUCGGUGGGGGAGACAGUUUACGGUGGCUCCGAUGAGCUCUCGGAUGACAUCACCCAGCAGCAGCUGCUGCCCGGCGUCAAGGACCCCAAUCUCUGGACGGUGAAGUGCAAGAUCGGGGAGGAGCGCGCCACCGCCGUCGCGCUCAUGCGCAAGUUCAUCGCGUACCAGUACACCGAGACG